rnacentral:rRNA from 1 species
GGGCUGCUGGCUCCGGCCGGCGAGCGCUUGCCAGAGGACCUAAACUCUGUUUGUCUAUACUGUCUGAGUACUAUAUAAUAGUUAAAACUUUCAACAACGGAUCUCUUGGUUCUGGCAUCGAUGAAGAACGCAGCGAAAUGCGAUAAGUAAUGUGAAUUGCAGAAUUCAGUGAAUCAUCGAAUCUUUGAACGCACAUUGCGCCCCCUGGUAUUCCGGGGGGCAUGCCUGUCCGAGCGUCAUUACAACCCUCAAGCUCAGCUUGGUAUUGGGCCCCGCCGACCCGGCGGGCCCUAAAGUCAGUGGCGGUGCCGCCCGGCUCCGAGCGUAGUAAUUCUUCUCGCUCUGGAGGUCCGGUCGUGUGCUCGCCAGCAACCCCCAAUUUUUUUCAGGUUGACCUCGGAUCAGGUAGGGAUACCCGCUGAACUUAAGCAUAUCAAUAAGCGGAGGA